GAGAGAUCCUGUCUCCUUUGCCAUGCCGCUGCAAGGUCAUAAAGUAGAUAAAACUUAAGUUGCAAUUCCGGUUUUCCUCAAGAUCUGAGACAUGUUAAUUGUCUUUGUUUCUCGCUCUGGUAACAUCUUCCCGCUGCACAUAUUUCCCGCCUUAAAGAGUUUAAAAGGUGAUCAAAAAAUCUAACACUGGCCACCCGCUCGGGACACCUUCCACGCUGUGGAAGCUUUGUACUGUCAUUCUGCUCAGUAAAGCCUACAGCCUUUUUUCUCUCGGUCGGGUCCACGUCUCUCUCUCUUGCCGCGGGCUGCCGCCACCCCAACCCUUUGGCGUGGCUAAGGCAACAACCUUUGGUGUUACCCUGGUUUGCAAAGAGGAAUGCCCUCUCCAAACAUGCCUAUCGAAUAAGGUCCUGUUCAUGAUGCAAAUCUCUAUGUGAUCUUCCUCCGGAAUUCUUGAGCCCAUUCCUGGAACUGUGUGAUAACUUGCCCAGAAAAUCUUCUUGUGGAAUCUGUCUUUACAUGGAAAAGACUUGGCAAUAUUUGUACAGCAACUGGAAGAAAGGUCUUUGCUGAGAUAUACAAAGAGGCAGAAUGUGUGUGGAUCACCGAUUAGACAAGGCGAAUAGGAGCAGAAUAGAAGAGGAAUGGAAUAGAACUCAAGAUGAUAAAACAUACUGUGUCCAGAAUUUAUUCCUUCCAGUGGGCUGUUGGUCUCACUGACUUUAAGAAUGAAGCUGCGGACCCUCGUG
rnacentral:lncRNA from 10 species